GGCGGCCGGCCACACCCCCAGGAAUAUCGGCAGCGUCCUCCGGAGCAAAAUAUUGCUCGAUCUAAUGGCGAUUGUAUCUCUGCGUACAAGCACGAGCAAAUGAAUCUGAUUGUAACCACUCAAUAGAUAAGAUGAUGCGGAACCUUAUCUGUUCAGUUACAUUGCAUUUUUAUUCUUUGUUAAUGUAGGAACGUACGCUUUGUACCGUGCAAUUCCAGUUAGGCCCUCAGACUAACUUAAUUUGCAAAUUAUUCAUCAGGAUAUCUGUUAAAUCACACUUACAAGCCUUUAAGCUUGCGGGAAAUUGCAAUCAGGCCAUUUGGAUAUUUAAGAUCAAGCCCUAAGGCUUAC
rnacentral:lncRNA from 1 species